rnacentral:lncRNA from 1 species
CUGAUGCUCAGGACAGACUUCAUUUCAGUAAAGGGAUAAGAAGCCCCUUCCUUGAUCAACCCAUCUGCAUCUUCAUUUUCCUUAAUCCCUCUGGCUCUUGCACCCAAACAAAUUGAACACUGUUUCUAGUAACUAAUUCCACAAAGCUUCUAUGGGAUACUGCCAUUCCUGUAGAAACUUUAAGUUGAAGUGGGAGCUAUCAAGUACUUUUAAUGCAGUCUGCCUAUCUGAUAGGAUGUAAAUAUGUUUAUUAGCAUAUCCUCUGUCAAGAUUAAUUUUAACAUAUGCAAAAAUACCAUAGAUUCUAUCUGAAAACUGUGCAAGGGAACAAAAAUAAGACAUCUUCAUUCCCUUGCAAUAAAACCUUACCUCUUCACCAGCAGAGGUUUUGGAACUGUCCUAUACUAAACCAAUCCACUCUUAAUACUGUGUUCAGAUCUAUCCUUCUAAUGGUGGGGAAAACAAUAGUGAAAGGUCUGAAGAAGCUGAAUCUGAGCACCAUGUGAUCCUUAACCCUCUCAAGAAUGUGGCUGUGUCUUGUCUCUUAUAAAAGAUGAGUACUAAACUUGUUUACUUUAAAAUGAUCACUGAAAGAAAAGCACUUGAAAGCAGUUUUAUAAAAUAAAAAUAUUUUUGAUAGAAAAACUUUAGAAUGUUUCAGUCAAAUUGGUGU